rnacentral:lncRNA from 1 species
UUCAGAUGGACCAAAAACUAAAGCACUGAUAGGCAGAAACUAUCCUCAAAGUUUUUGCCAAAGAAGUCCCACUUCUCACACCAGAAGCAAACUCACCAUAAGGCAAGACGCUGAUAUGUAGAAAGAGCUCAGAGACAGGGAAGAGCAUCGUAGUGUUGGUUGGAUCCUCAUACAGUACAGACGCAGAAGCACAGUUUCGAUUGCUCCUGUCUGGUGGAUCAGUUCUGAGUUUGCAAGAAGGUCCUUGGAUCACUCUGACUUGACAUGUCAUUUCAAAGCUUGAGAGAGCUGAUGGCAGGAACAGAUCCUUCAUACCACGCUGCCACAUGUCCCAUGAGUCUCCAAGGGUCUUGUGGGCUCUACUUCUGAGUGUCCCAGCAAGACUACGAUCAAAAGAUCAUCCACUAUUUUCUCUCAUAGUCCUUCUUUCAAGCAGAACUCAUCACUGGAGGUUCUGUUGACAUAAGACAGAGAGAAGGCUUUUGUUCUCCUUUCAAGUGACAUGACAGGGGAUGAGCCAGCAGCUUGGAAACCGCCCCGGGCCACCUGGAGAAAGACGCUUGCGUGAAUGACGGACAUUCGAAGAGAUGAGUCUUCUAUGACUCAAGGAUCGCAAAAUUGAGGCAGAGUGGCCAUGACUGCCUUGUGAUUCACACAGUGUUGCCGUUGGCUGGAGGGGUGGUGUGUCCUCUGACUUUGCUCUAGCAAGCGUGGAGCCUAAGUAUCUUUACGCAAGUUCUGUGGAUCAAGGAGCUUGAGGGGAUUAGGUUUGAAGAGCUGAGGAUAACUGGUGUUUCAGACUGAUCGGGAGUUUUACCCUACAAGGAACAGUGGUGGCCUGGUAUUGGACAAUUAUUGGUUUCCUUUGCCAGAUUAUGCUGUGGUUUGUCAAACUUGAUGCCACAAUGCCCUGGAGGCAGUUUCAGUGUGAUUAAAGGUGGAGCUCAG